UGAUAGCGAUGAAGCGUGAGGUUGCCGCCGGAGCGAAAAAAUAAGCAAAGGCGGGUUUUCCGUGGAGCGAAUGUCAAGUUAGGAAACUGGCGACAA
rnacentral:ncRNA from 1 species